GGUGCGGUAGCUCAGGAGGUAGAGCACCGGACUGAAAAUCCGGUGGUCGGCGGUUCGACUCCGCCCCGCACCA
rnacentral:tRNA from 1 species